rnacentral:rRNA from 1 species
CACGAAUUCGUGUGAGCUAAUUCAUCUAUACAAUAUGUAGCAUAAUAUAUAUACGAAGGUAAAUUAGGAGUGAAAGGCCUCCCAAAAACGAAGAUAUCUUGAAGUAAAUAAAAAAAAUUGAGUUUUAGGUUAAUUAUAAAGUUAUAAGAUUUUAUAACGAAUUUAAUUCCUAUUAUAUUAAUAUAUUGGUAUAAAAGCCUACAUAAAUAGUCAUUAAUAUACAUCUAGAAAGGUUAUUAAACUAGUUUACGAUAGCAUAACUUUUUUAUAAUCAUAAUGUUAAUAUAAGUACCUAUUAGAUACUAAUAGUGAACUCGGCAACAAAGCUUUCAACUGUUUAUCAAAAACAUAGCCACAUGCUUCACAUGUGGUGUAUUCUGCUCAAUGAUAUUUAAAUAGCCGCAGUACCCUGACUGUGCAAAGGUAGCGUAAUCAUUUGUCUUUUAAUUGGAGUCGUGUAUGAAUGAAUGCAUGGGGGCUUACUUUACCACUAGUAUAGUUUGAAAUUUCUUAAAAGGUGAAAAUGCCUUUAUUUAAAUAAUAGACGAGAAGACCCUUGAAAUUUUUAAAUACGUUUUGUUGGGGCAACAUAGUAGACAAACCUACUAAAUGUAUAUGCAAUUUAUUUGUUUGAAUAAAUUACUCUAGGGAUAACAGCAUAAUUCUUAAGAGUUUGUGACCUCGAUGUUGGAUUAGGGAACUAUAACUUAAAA